GGUACUUCACCACUUGUACGCGCUCUCAUGGCUUCAGUUCUCUUUGAGUUGUUGAAUCCGAUUGUCGUCGUUCACUUGCAAACCGUCGUACGCACGAAACAAUAUAAGAACCAUACAAAAUAUCGCUAGCAACUGUUGCUUUUAUCUAUGCAAAGCAUUUUGUGUGCUCGCCACCAAUCAAAUUAGUGAAUUGUGCAAAUAGGAGAAGAAAAUAAAUGUAAACAAGAAAACUGCAUCUGUUCCAAAGCAAAUGUUAGUGAUUAGAAGUCAAUUGGUGUUGCAGUGCAUAUUCUCCUUCCAGUGAAAUAUUUUGUGUGGUUUCAGUGCGAUUUUUGCUGGUAGGCCUUCGGUGCGCUGCUCUUUUGUGUGUUGUGCUCUUAUCCCUGAACGAAGUUACAGUGCAGCAGCAUUCUUUGUUGUCACAGGGCGCGCACAUUGGAAUUUUGCUUACUAACAACGAAGUGCCCACAAGUCCUACCCCCCCAAAAACCGUUGCCUAGUUGCGUUACGUAGUGUUUUGAUUUUUCACCUACCUAUUUAUUUUACGUUUGGCUUCCCAACGUUAUUCGUUACUUGGCUUUCUGGCUUACCUUCUUAUUUACAUACUCUACAUGCAUACAUAUACAUAUGUAUAUGUGUGAAUAUGAGUGCACUCGUCGGACGUGCGGUCGGUCGUUAAUGUCAGUGCAUUUGUUGAUGCUAGAAACCGGUUAUUGCUCCCCAACAAAUAGCGUAAAUGUUUCAAAUAGGUAGGUGUUGCUGUGUGCGGUUCUGCCAAUGAAGAAGCCCAUAAAAGCCAUUGGCGAGAAAAGAAAAAAUCUGUAAUAACAAAAUAAGUUAAGAUAGUUUUGCGCUAAAAAAUUCAAAACAAUGAAAAACGAAAAAAUGCACAUAAACAAAAUAACUCAAUUGAAGGCAUAACAUCAACAAUAAAAAAUAUUAAAGAACCAACGCUAUUUAGCUCCGAAGUUUAGUGGGGAAAAAACAACAACAACAUAAGUGAACAAAUAAAGUCUGCAGGCAACUACAACAACUGUGUCAACGGCAAGUGCAAAAGCUUUGUUUGCUGCACCAAAAACAACAACGCUCAAUACGAACAAGUGUACAUACAUAUGUAUGUGUAAGUAUAUGUGUAAAUAUUUACUAUAUACAUACAUAUGUAUGUUCUGUUGCAUUAAAAUCCGUUGCAAAUUCAAUGACACGCGAAGCUGCGCAGUUAAAUCAAAAGGUUAAUUGAUUUUUAAUUAAAAAGAAAGUCGGCACACUAGCGCAUAUGUAUGUAUGAAUGUACAUACAUAUGUAAAAUAUUUGCAUUUGAUUUGACUUUAAGUGGAAAUCCAGUUUUGUGAAAUUAAAAUAAUAAAUAUGUAUGUAAAUGCCAACGCACGACACAAGUGUAAAAAAGUAAAGAAUUUUGUCGCAGCGCAAGUUAUCAACAGCAAUAAAGAUUUUCCACAAUUUACCACAACAUCAAAAUUACUUUAGACGUCAACAAAGUGGCCUUUUUUAUGCCCAAAUUUGAUAUGCCCAUUUAUUUCCUGUUUCAUGAAGAUAGAUUAAGGUUAGCAAUAAAAUCACAAUGAAUACGCGAUAAACUCACCUGAAAGAUUGCUAUUGAGUUCGCCUUCCAAAGUAUAAAAUACUAGUGUUUUGCGGGACACUUUCCAAAAUAAUUUUUUGCUGGAACUUCACAACAAAAAUGUCAAUGAAUAUGUGUACAACAGGCAGAUAAAAAAAAACAACAACCAAAUAUAAAUGCUAGAACAGAAAAGUGAUUUGUACGCAUGGACGGAAGAAUAGCCGGCGGAGAAAUAAAGAAACCCAUAAAAGAAAGCGAAAACGAUUGAUAUUAAAAAAGCAACAACAAUUUACAAUUUUCUGUGGUAAAAAAAUUAGAAACGAAAUCGGAAACCGUAAAGAUUAAGUCGUCAAACCGGCAUGAAAGCAAUGAAAAUUCAUUAGAAAGCAACAACAACAACAACAAAAACAAUCAAUUAA